rfam:Massilia timonae CCTG 45783 genomic scaffold supercont1.3, whole genome shotgun sequence.
GGGGGCGACCUGGUUUCGACGUGGGUUGCAAAGCAGCGCAGGGCAUACCGAGGACUGGUUACCUCGUAAAUACAUCCAGAAAUCAAUAACUGCAAACGAUAACUCGUACGCACAAGCAGCUUAAUUGCUGCUAGCUCUACAACACCUCGCCUCUGGGGUGAGUCGCAAGACUGGUAGAGUCAUUUACAGAGGCUAGGAAUCAACCGGGUUACUUGGUUGCUUCCGAAAUUUAAGGUAACUCGCUUGUACAAAGGGUGCACAUCCCCGUUGUGCAGGUCAAAUCAAAUGAUAGUGCUAAGUAUGUAGAACUGUCUGUAGAGUGCUUGCGGACGCGGGUUCGAUUCCCGCCGCCUCCACCA